GCCGGCUUCAUCCCGUUCGGCCAAGAAAAUGGUGGAAUACCGCCAGAAAAGUCCGAUUGAGACAAAUCUGGUUCCUUUUCGCACAAAAUAUGGCUUGAUUACGAUUAUCCAACCUUUUUUCACGCAGCUGUGCACGUUUGGAAGAUCUAUCAUUCUGCACCCUCUGCCGCUCCAAUCCGGUCGAUCCGCGUCUAGAGACAGGUCGACUGAUCCCUCCUGCACACCACGCUGUCAUGCGCUGAAUCGCGCUGCAUUGACCUGACAGGGCCCCUCCCUUGUACUAGUUCGUUUUUAGCGCACAAGACGUCUAAUGUGGCUAUUCCGCGCGCCGGAGCAGAGCUUUCCGCCUUUGAGCCAGUACCGAGCCGAGCCAAAUCU
rnacentral:lncRNA from 1 species